CUCUUUCCCCCUCCUCCUCCCCCUCAGCCACCGCCUCCUACUGCACCCACACCACUCCCACCGGGGCACCCGGGUCCCUGCAGAGUCUCGGGGCUGCGCUGCCUUUGCUGCGGACCCCUGGAUCCUAAGCCUGCGGCGCUGGAGCUGAUGGGACUGAAUCACGGACGGACACGCAGAUUUCUUCACACCCUAAGCUCCGCUGCGGUUGUCCCCUGGAGGCCCGCGCCCGGGUCACUGAGAUGGCUUCGGGCGCCCGGCGAGGGUUGCCUGAGACCCGGGAGAAGCAGAUCUGGAGAAGACAGACGUGAAGUCCUCUAGAGGGACUAUGAAAGCCACCUGAUUCCACCAAGGGUCUGGGUCUUAGGACGCUCCAGGUAGUCCCGGCAAUAAUAAUAAUAAGGAGAGGUCUCCUGU
rnacentral:lncRNA from 1 species